UACGUAGGGUGCAAGCGUUGUCCGGAAUUAUUGGGCGUAAAGAGCUCGUAGGCGGUUUGUUGCGUCGGCUGUGAAAACCUGGGGCUCAACCCCGGGCCUGCAGCCGAUACGGGCAAACUAGAAUUCGGUAGGGGAGACUGGAAUUCCUGGUGUAGCGGUGAAAUGCGCAGAUAUCAGGAGGAACAUCGGUGGCGAAGGCGGGUCUCUGGGCCGAUAUUGACGCUGAGGAGCGAAAGCGUGGGGGAGCGAACAGG
rnacentral:rRNA from 1 species